GUGCUUUUUCCCCGCAUGCAUUCAGUUUUGUUUGUCUCCUCCCUGAGCUGACUGCUUGCUAUUAAUACCCACUCACCAGGAUUUUCACAGGCUAACACUCAGAAUUUUUUUGUAACCUAUUUCCUCCUCACUCCUCGAGCUCUGGCCUCUCCCUCAGGAAAGGAUGACGCUGAGUGUAUUUUUAGAGGAGAGCUGGUUAACUGCUGUUAACACUAUCAUCAUUUCAGGAUGAUUAGGAGGACAGAAUUUGCAACUGCAGAGCCCAGAGAAGAAGUGAGAGCAAAGGGAACCAGGACCAGAACCAUGCUGGGGAUUGGUACAAAAAGAGUGAAGAAUGCUGUGUCCAAUGAGGCAGAGGAGAAAUACCUACAGAACAAGAAUUGUGCUGCAAGUACCUUUUGUGAAAUGGUCCAUGGGUUAUUUGAUCAUGUACAUUUUAGCUUUAUACCUCAACAGACACAUGUUGGUUUUUGA
rnacentral:lncRNA from 1 species